rnacentral:lncRNA from 1 species
CAUUUUUACCCUUCUUGCCUUCCUCCAUUACCGGUCGUCACCGCCAUUGGCGGGAGGCUACAGGCCAAGACGUGAAUGGAUUUCACCCUACAAGUGUUCUUAGUGUGAAUGGAGAGUGUUUUGACAUUGCCCAUUGCCCAUGCGGGGACUUGAAUAGCUCGCGUGUUGUGAUGAUCUAGUCGGCGUUGAAGCAAAUUUUGCUGGUCAGAAUAAAACAUCACAGACAUUGGAGACAUGUAAUAGGGUUAGGCCUGUCAUAACCCUGACGGGGACAGAAAGAUGCAGCGCAUCAUUCCAGCGAGAGAUGAAAUUUCCGGCCACGCCGAUGCUCUCCCUUUCCUGUUGCAGUUGCGUGACUAAGGGAGUUAUGUUCUGAGCCUAACCACACUACAGUGCUGCUGGAUUUGUUUACAGGUGAGGCUGAUCACAUACAGUGGACCUCCUUUCACAUUCAACAUUGAGUGGAGGUAGCAGAGGAUGGAGCGGGACAUGGGGACAUCCACGUCAGUGAUUCUGG